rnacentral:rRNA from 1 species
UACGAAGGGGGCGAGCGUUGUUCGGAUUUACUGGGCGUAAAGGGCGCGCAGGCGGCUCAUUUUGUCAGGCGUGAAAGCCCCGGGCUUAACCUGGGAACUGCGUUUGAUACGGAUGGGCUAGAGUUCGGGAGAGGAGAGUGGAAUUCCCAGUGUAGAGGUGAAAUUCGUAGAUAUUGGGAAGAACACCGGUGGCGAAGGCGGCUCUCUGGACCGAUACUGACGCUGAGACGCGAAAGCGUGGGGAGCAAACAGG